GCCAGCAAAGCCAGCUGUCUGUUGGCAGCAGCCAGGAGAACACCACCAAGCUGGAGCUGCUGCUCAUGACACCUUGGAGCUGUCUGCCACUGUCACAGUGUUUUGGAGUGAGCAAAGCAAAUUGGUGUAACAGGAAGAAAGCAAAAUAUGGAGCCCAGAUGGCAAAAGGAGAAGAAGCACAUCACAUCACUAGAGGCACAACGUACAGACUAAAUGUAAAGAUGUGGAAGUUGAAAGCAAAUUUUGACAAUAUGAUCCUAAUGUAAGUGGCUACUACUAUGGACCAUGGAAAAGUCAGCAGCUGAAGGUCAAGAAGAAACUGUAAGGAAACCUAAACGGGAAGGAAAUGGGGGACAUGUCAGAAGCAACUGAUAGAACAGAGCUGUAUCCAGCCUUUAACUUCAACAGGUGCAUCUGCGUAUGUACCUUGCUAGAACAAGAACCAAAAAAUAUGAGAAUUCUUCAGAUGUGCACUGAAAUUUUUUUUCCCACUUUUUCUCUGAGAUAAAAUCCUUACUCAGACACAAGUCUGUAGGAGCUAAGGACUAAAAGCAUAGUCAGAAGCACUCAGCACCCUGUCAGCAUGGGACCUUACAUACAGAAAUCUCUUUGGGGGUCUAUGGAAGUUCAGGACACCUUAUACCAAGCAAAAUUGUGGCAUUAACUAGAGAUGCCCAAAAGUAUAUUUUCUUUUAACUCUUUUUUGAAGAGAAGGCUGAAAACAGGCUUGAAUCUUUUACAAGUGUCCAUUCUGAUUGAACAAGAGAAUCAAGGAUAUAUUACUGAGGUUAUAUAUGGACAAUUAGCAUUAGAAUUAAAGUGGAAAUAAUCUCAACCAAACUAUUGUCUUUGCCUAAGGAAAAGUGUUUAAUAGAAGGCUAAUUUAUACUGGAAGUUGUUAAAUAAAAAGCUCCAGGUGGAAUUUUUAAAGUGA